CUAACUUAUCAAGCCGCUGACUCCUGCUUCCACUCUGCCGAUGGCCCUCGUCUGUCUGGGGGGUUGGAUCGCCUGGUCGUCCGCUUCUCCCUCCAGCCUCUCUGUGCUCUCUCCCACGCUGCCCCUCUCCAUCCCCAUCCCUGGUUCUCCAAACCUGUCUUCACUGGCGUGCCCGCAGGUCACUUCUGUCUGGCACCGGUGAGCGGGGCCAGUGGCUCUUCUGUUCAUUCUAUUGCAGUACCCAGCCUUUCCACCCUGUUUGCCUGAUUUGUCCCCCUGUCUGUCAGGUAGAUGGGAACACCCUGCAGCCAGGACUGUCUUCUUUGUUCCAUGACUGUGCAGCACCCUGAUCCUUGACGGGGUUCCUCGGUGCUCCCCCAAAUAACAACCUAUAGACUAGGCUGCCUAAUAAAGACCCACUUGGCCCACACAUCAUGUUUCCCUCAUGGGUUUGACAGCUGCCUGUGACCAGCAGCCUGAGAAGAGACUGCAGCAGGGAGGUGGGGGAAGGGUGCUAAGUAUCUCCGGUUGCUGUCAGCUAAAGCGAGAGAGAGAGCAACCCCCUCAGUGAUCUGCAGCAGGUCAGCUUGGCAAAGGACCAGCUGCACACGGUGUUCCAGCUGAGCGGAGCUGGAUUUAUAUGCAGAGAGGCUACCGGAGCAGUGGAGAGCCAGGGCGGAGUGUUCACAAGCACUCCCUCAAAACACAGCCUUUGCUCACCUCAUCUCAAUAGUCGGCAUGGGGCUGCUCUUUGGGUCGCCUGAGACGGGCAACGCCAGUCCAGAUCCGUGGUGCAUUUGCAAUAAACAGUGAAACGGGAGGUGUGUAGGGGGGGGGGUUCUGUAUUGCUUUGAUCUGUGCUGCCCCAGAGCUGGUUCAAGCACCCGUUGGGCAUUGCAAAGACCAGGCCUCGCUCUCGCUUACAUUGUAGCUCUCAGAACUACAGCCCAAUUCCUGAGGUCACAGAGUCAGAAAGUUUAAGGCCAGCUAGAUUGAGCUCCUGUAUAUCACAGGCCACCGCCCCCACCCAGCACCCUCACUCUAAACCCAACAACCAGAGAGAGACCCAAGUAUCAGCCCGCAGGAGACUAGCCUGUGACGUGCCACCGGCAGAGAAGAGGAGGAGCUGAGAGGCACCAGGGAGCCUGAGACCCCAGCAAUGGCAGGGAAAUGAUGAAGUGAGAGAGACCCAGAUAAUCCUGGCGAGUGUCCCCCCACUCUCCCACUGCAGUAGAAGGCGAAAAACCCCCAAGGUCCCUGCCAAUCUGACAUGGGGGGGAAUAUUCCUGCCCAACCCACCCAGGGCGAUCAGACCCUGCGCUUGUGAGCAAGAGCCAGGCAACCUAGUGCCUGAGAGAGAGAAUGCUGAGGGCCAUCUCAGAGCUCUGGCCCACCCCACCCAAUGGCCCGUUUCCAACCAGGAGUGGGCAUCCCUGAUGCUUCAGAGGAAGGAGAUAAAAAAAUCCCUCCCAGAAUACACAGCGGGUGGGGGGGGAGAGAGAGCCCUUCCUGACACUGCAGAUGGCCAGCUGAAAUGCUUACUCAGACCUCACUUUCCUGGUACCCAGUGUGGUGCAGGCCUUUCCUCACAACAUCCCUCCUCCCCAAAACAAGAGGCAAUGUUUACCCUGCCCCCACACACUCAUCCCCUCUCCCUUGGAAUACUAGUAUCCUCCCUGGCAGCACUGGGAGAAAGGCCUGGUCAGGAUGGGAUGGAGACCUUAUUGCACGAGCUUCCCUACUUCCGCUAGCAUCUCUGAACAGCAGCUGUGUGGACUCCCUUCCAUCCUCGUCAGCCCAGCCUCAGCAAGGUUGCUGCAGAGCUCCCACGUGCCUCAUGCUGGUAAGACCAGAGGGCUGGGCACCCUUUAGGAUUGGGCAAAUGGGAGUGUUACCUGAGCAAAGGCUUUUGGUGUAAUCUGAUUGAUCUCCUUGUCCAGGCUCUGUGUGUGCUGUGUAAAUGCUACAGCUGUUGUUGUUUUUACAGAUAUUAACUUGUCCGCCGUUAGUGUUAAGCUCGCUGAUCACUAUUACGGUGAUUCUAGGGAUGAUCAUUAAAACCUGCAAUGGACUGUUUAAUAGUAAUGCUUAGAGCAUGCAGUUUGCUUCACAUUAUGGGGAAGUUUAAGCAUAAGCCCAAUUAAGUCCCUGAAUAUGCCCAGUUGUGCAAACUACAGGCUCCCCUGGAGUUUGGCAUUCUGCUAGCAAGCCACUUCUAUCCCGAAGCCAAAUUAAAAUCCUAUUGUGCUGCUGCUGUUCAUAUUUCAUGCUCUUGUUUCCAACAAUUAAAUUGUGACAUUUAGCCAAACUUUAUGAGGAAACAAGACCGCCUCCUCUACCAGCUGAGAGGAGAAUUCCAGUAAUCAACCUCCCUUGUGGCUCCUAGACACUAUGGUGAUGGUCACAAUACCAACUGCCGGUGACUGGAUAAGGUAAAAUGAUGGCGAAGGGGGGUGGGGAGGCUACAGAACAAUUGUGAGCUUUUUCUUUUUUGUGUCUUUUUUUUCCCCCCAGAUAUAAAUCAUUGCCCCAGAUCCUCAGCUGGUGGAAAUCAGCGUCAUUCUACUGACGUCAAUAGAGUGAAGCUCACUUACACCAGGUGAAUUUGAUGCUGGUGAAAAAUAACAGAAUGGCAGCUCUGGAGAGAGAAUUCCUCGGUAGCCAAAGACAAUGUAUACCCUAGGCCGCAGCAGUGCAAGCUAUCCCGUGCCACCUUGCUCGGCCUCACUCCUGGCCUGGAUGGAGGAAACCCCUAAGUAGGUGGAGUAGAAAAACAGAGGAAGGAGGGGAGCAAGAGAGGAUGGGCAAAGGAACUUCUUCUUUAGCAUGUAGGAGAGCAGCAGACAGAGGGAUGCAAAUGUCAGGAACCUCCAUGGCUGGAAAUCACAUAGAAGGAAUGAAUUGGUGGUCACAAGUGAUGUGUGGUUCGCAGGAGUGGGGGCUUAUGGUGAAACUGGUAAAUUGGGGCAGACUGCACCUUUGGGGACAAAGGAUCUGGAAGUUCUGUGACAGGAGCUGCGAGGACCUCAGCUGGCUGCAUUGUUCAUUCAGAAUCCAAAUUUUCAUCUUGUCCCAGGACUGUGGAACCCGUACAAGUCCCAGUGAAGAAUUAACACUGGUCUACAAUUUUUGAGAAGUCGUCUGCUUCAGAGAUAAAAUGUGCUAUUUAUUAUGUAUUUUGAUGUGCUGAAUUCAGAUAUGACAAUUAAAACAACUGAUUGGCUACUGUUUCUAAGAUAUUUAAGUUUUUACAUUUUAUGACUAUGUAUAUUGUGUAGAUAGUAGAGUUUUAAUCAUAAAUUGUAAACCUAGGUCUUUUCAUGUGUUUAUGGUUGCUUUACAUGAUAAUAUUUCACCUGUCCUGUUUAUGUAACACUUUAAAAAUCAGCAAAAGGGUUAU